AAAGCGUGCGCAGGCGGUUUUGUAAGUCUGUCGUGAAAGCCCCGGGCUCAACCUGGGAAUUGUGAUGGAGACUGCAAGGCUUGAAUCUGGCAGAGGGGGGUAGAAUUCCACGUGUAGCAGUGAAAUGCGUAGAGAUGUGGAGGAACACCGAUGGCGAAGGCAGCCCCCUGGGUCAAGAUUGACGCUCAUGCACGAAAGCGUGGGGAGCAAACAGGAUUAGAUACCCGAGU
rnacentral:rRNA from 1 species